ensembl:snRNA U6 U6 spliceosomal RNA
UUACUUUGGCAGCACAUGUACUAAUGCUGGAACAAUUCAGAGAGGAUUAGCAUGGUUCCUGUGUAAGGAUGACAUGGAUAUUCAUGGAGUAUUCCCUAGAUUU